GGGUCAGUAGGUUGGUCGUGCCACCGGUACGUACUGGUCUCACUGAUUCCUCCUUCCUGAAGAACCGUAAUGCCAUUAAUUUGGUGUUGCGGGGAAACAGGACUGUUACUUUGAAAAAAUUAGGGUGUUUAAAGCAAGCUAACGCCUGAAUACAUUAGCAUGGAAUAAUGAAAUAGGACGAUCGAUCCUAUUUUGUUGGUUUCUAGGAUUGACGUA
rnacentral:rRNA from 1 species